rnacentral:lncRNA from 1 species
CUUUCUUUCUCUUUCUUUCUCUUUCUCUGCUUCUGCUUCCCUUCCUCUCUCCCCUGUCUGUCAAUCUUUCCUGCUGUCCCCCUUAUGGCUCUGCCCCAUGUGCGUGUCUCUCCCCCUGCCUCUUUCCAUCUUUGUCCUCUGCUUUCUGUCCCUGUCUCUCUCCCUGCUGCCUCUGCCCCUUCCAGCCUGCCAGGGUCAGUUUAUUGCAUCUGGAUCACGUGAGUAGUUUUCCCAUAUUUUCUGCUCCUGGGACUUUCCUCAGCCCAGGCCCUGCUGUGCCCAUCACCUGGGUCCUCUCAGCAGGGGCUUUGCUGGGGUGGCAACCAUGCUGACCCCAGGGCCCUGUGCCCCUGCUCCUGGCUCCAGGACCCCUUCCGAGUUACGCUGCAGACACUGCUGGCCCCCAGCUCCACCGCGUGCCCGUGCUGCGUGUCUCUCAUGCAGAGGAGGAAGGCCAGAUGCCCCCCGAGGACGACGAGUAUGAAUACUCAGAGUACUCCGUGGAGGAAUACCAGAACCCUGAGGCUCCCUGGGAUGGCGAUGCCCCAGAUCCCUGCUCACUUCCACUGGAUGAGGGCUCCUGUACUGCCUACACCCUGCGCUGGUAUCAUCGGGCUGUGGCAGGUGGCACGGUGGCCUGUCAUCCCUUUGUCUAUGGUGGCUGUGGAGGGAAUGCCAACCGUUUUGAGACCCGUGAGGCCUGUGAGCGCCGCUGCCCACCCCGGAUGGCCCAGAGCCAGGGGACAGGUGCUGCCCGGAGUUGAGGCCAGAUGAUGUGCUGAAGGAGUCGGUGUCUCCAUUGGGCCCUGCUGUCCCUCCCCUUGGUGCUAGAGGCCUGUGUGCCCGUGAGCGUGCAUGAGCGUGUCCGUUAUUUCAGUGACUUGUUCCGUGGGUCUAGCCUUCCCCCCUCUGGACAAACCCCCAUUGUGGCUCCUGCCUCCCUGGCAGAUGACUCAGUGUGGGGGUGGCUGGGUAGUGAGCAGAUGUGACUGCGUCUGACUCGCCCCUUGACCCAAGCCUGUGAUGACAUGGUGCUGAUUCUGGGGGGUAUUAAAGCUGCUGUUUUU